rnacentral:rRNA from 1 species
GACGAACGCUGGCGGCGUGCUUAACACAUGCAAGUCGAACGAUGAAGCCGGGGCUUAUUGUUUUGGUGGAUUAGUGGCGAACGGGUGAGUAAUACGUGAGUAACCUGCCCUUGUCUUUGGGAUAAGCCUGGGAAACCGGGUCUAAUACCGGAUAUUCUGCUUUUGCCGCAUGGUGGGGGUUGGAAAGAUUUCGGCGGUUGGGGAUGGACUCGCGGCUUAUCAGCUUGUUGGUGGGGUAGUGGCUUACCAAGGCUUUGACGGGUAGCCGGCCUGAGAGGGUGACCGGCCACAUUGGGACUGAGAUACGGCCCAG